CACUGGCCCACCCACGGCGAGCGGCAGCAGGGCUGGCGUUUUGGGGGGGAAACUCCCGAAAUGGGCAAAUUUGUGUCGGGGAGGGUGUGGCUGGCUUGGGGGGACUACAUGGAGAGGCCACUCUAAAUCCCCCAGGAGCCACCCUGGGGACAGCUCUGUCGAGCUCUGUGUGCUGGCAUUGAGUUGCGGCCACUCCAUUGAUGCCUCUGUGCCUCGGUUUCCCCAACUCGUGUUCACCCUUUCCCUGGGGACAUCUGGGUCCUGGCCAGCUCGUGGCCACCGUGACUCACCCGGGGCUGGCACGGGGACCUGCUGCCAUCCCUGUCCCCCACGGGCCACGGGUGCCAGCAGCUGCCCCCACACUUCGUGCUGGCACAGGAGUUUGUUUCCGCCUCCUUUUGCCUUUUUCCGUGGCUUUUUGGGGUUUUUUUUCAGGAAAAGCCCCAAACCAGGGCUGAACGCAUCAAAGGGCUGGCAGGAGCCCAGGGCAUGGGGAGGGGGAGCUCGGGGGAAGUGCAGCAGGGUCCCCGCCAGCCCACAGCGCCCAAAAUUGGGGUGUCCUUGGGGACACGUGGCCCCGCCGCGUGCCCAGUGCUGCCACGUGAGCCCUGGGAUCUGGCUGGGGGAAACUGAGGCACGGGGCUGUGCACACGCAUGUUCCCAUGCACACGGCUGUGGGGGACACGCGUGUGUGAGGCUGGCAGGGGACAAGUCUUGUCAGACCCGCAAAUCCGUCCGGCUUUGGCUGUGCCUGAGCUUGGGGACAGAGGGCAAUGGGACCAGGGGGACAUGGGGAACGGGGUCUUGGGGACACAGGGCCAUGGGGACAGGGAGAUGUGGGACCGUGGGGACCACAGGACACAGCCCUACAGGCUCCUGGGGACACGGGGUGCUGGGAAAGGGGAGCAGCACAGGAGACGGCAGCCAUAUGGCACCCCUGAGGACAAGGGGACAGCCCAGCUUGUCCCCACUCCCACUCAGCUCCUGCCACCCCCAGAGAGGAGGGACACAGUGACCCUGAGCAGGACUGUGUCCUCCCUGUGCCUCAGUUUCCCUUGGAGCCCUGCAGGGAGGGGGAAGCUGAGGCCAUCCCUGUGAUGAAGCCACUCGGCCUCAGCCACAGAAGGGGGGCCCAGCUCCACUCUCAAUCCUUUUAUUGCUUUUUUUCCAGGGGGGCAGGAGGGGCAGGCAGCUAAAAAAAGAGGGGGGGAACAC
rnacentral:lncRNA from 1 species